GGACCCGCACAAGCAGCGGAGCAUGUGGUUUAAUUCGAAGCAACGCGAAAAACCUUACCAAGGCUUGACAUCGUAUGACCGCCAUAGAGAUAUGGAAUUCCCUUCGGGGACAUAUAGACAGGUGGUGCAUGGUUGUCGUCAGCUCGUGUCGUGAGAUGUUGGGUUAAGUCCCGCAACGAGCGCAACCCUUAUCAGUAGUUGCCAAUAUUAAGUUAGGAACUCUACUGAGACUGCCGUGGACAACACGGAGGAAGGUGGGGAUGACGUCAAAUCAUCAUGCCCCUUACGCCUUGGGCUACACACGUGCUACAAUGGCUAUUACAAAGAGCAGCGAGACGGUAACGUUAAGCGAAUCUCAGAAAGAUAGUCCCAGUUCGGAUUGUGGGCUGCAACCCGCCCACAUGAAGUCGGAGUUGCUAGUAAUCCCGAAUCAGCAUGUCGGGGUGAAUGCGUUCCCGGGUCUU
rnacentral:rRNA from 1 species